UUUCAAGUUGGAGACUGAAACUGUCUCUUUCAUUCUGGGAGCUUCCAGAGUUCUUCCAUUAGAGGACACACAUAUAUACUCUAUAAACGUUCGUUUCAUUUUCCAAUAGAAGAGAGGAGUACUAUGCCAAUUCUCCUUAAAUAAAUUUAAAGAAUUUCUUGCAAUUUAAGGAGUUGCAGGGAGCUAUAAUGAUUUCUUCAGCUUUCCAAACAAUUCUUGGAUACAGUGGGCUGGUGCCAGUAUAACUUUGGUUAAAUAGGAUGGAAUAGGACAUGAGCUUGCUCUCUCAUCAGUAUUUGUAGUGUUGUCUGUUUAUCAGCGUACAAGAUUUAUGAAUACAUACUUUUUUGUGGAAGUGAUAUCAAGAAGCAGCACAGGGUAGGCUGAAGAGAUGGAUUGGGCUAUAGUACAUGCCACAUGUAAACCAAUGCAAGCUGAAGUAUAUAGAAUGAACCUAUCAGGUGCAGUGUAUUUUAUUUGGCAAGAGAGCAACUAUAGAAUUUUUCAGUAUAAGGAGAUGACCACAGAGGUGAUCAUCAGAAACAUCAUACUAGAAAUUCAUUAUAGAGGGACUGGCUGAAUUUAUGCUUAGAUUUAAUUUUUAUCUAUAGUAUAGUAGAAUAGUGGUUAUUUAUUUAAGGUAGAUGAGCUUUGAGAUUGGGAUUAUGUCCAUGUCUUGAGUUUCAAAUCUGUACAUAUUGACAUAUCUGGUAAUAAAAAUUACAGUUACCAAAAA